AGACGUCUACAUUAGAUACCCCCGUAGUCCCAGCCGUAAACUAUGCGCGUUAGGUGUAUCGGUGACCACGAGUCACCGAGGUGCCGAAGGGAAACCGUGAAACGUGCCGCCUGGGAAGUACGGUCGCAAGGCUGAAACUUAAAGGAAUUGGCGGGGAGCACCACAACGGGUGGAGCCUGCGGUUUAGUUGGACUCAACGCCGGGAAGCUCACCGGAUAAGACAGCGGAAUGAUUGCCGGGCUGAAGACUCUGCAUGACUAGCUG
rnacentral:rRNA from 1 species